UGUGAGGAAGAUAAUGACGGUACUCAACAAGGAAGUGACGGCUAACUACGUGCCAGCAGCCGCGGUAAAACGUAGGUCACAAGCGUUGUCCGGAAUUACUGGGUGUAAAGGGAGCGCAGGCGGGCGAUCAAGUUGGAAGUGAAAUCCAUGGGCUCAACCCAUGAACUGCUUUCAAAACUGAUUGUCUUGAGUAGUGCAGAGGUAGGCGGAAUUCCCGGUGUAGCGGUGGAAUGCGUAGAUAUCGGGAGGAACACCAGUGGCGAAGGCGGCCUACUGGGCACCAACUGACGCUGAGGCUCGAAAGUGUGGGUAGCAAACAGGAUUAGAUACCCUGGUAGUCCACACCGUAAACGAUGAUUACUAGGUGUUGGAGGAUUGACCCCUUCAGUGCCGCAGUUAACACAAUAAGUAAUCCACCUGGGGAGUACGACCGCAAGGUUGAAACUCAAAGGAAUUGACGGGGGCCCGCACAAGCAGUGGAGUAUGUGGUUUAAUUCGACGCAACGCGAAGAACCUUACCAAGUCUUGACAUCCUGCGACGAUGCUAGAAAUAGUAUUUUCCUUCGGGACGCAGAGACAGGUGGUGCAUGGUUGUCGUCAGCUCGUGUCGUGAGAUGUUGGGUUAAGUCCCGCAACGAGCGCAACCCUUAUGGUCAGUUACUACGCAAGAGGACUCUGGCCAGACUGC
rnacentral:rRNA from 1 species